rnacentral:misc_RNA from 1 species
AAGUCGUAACAAGGUUUCCGUAGGUGAACCUGCGGAAGGAUCAUUAUAAUUGUUUUUACACCCUUUUAGGCACAAACUCUAAAUCUUAACCGUCAAUAAUUCUUUAAAAAACUUUCAACAACGGAUCUCUUGGUUCUC